rnacentral:rRNA from 1 species
UACGUAGGGUGCAAGCGUUGUCCGGAAUUAUUGGGCGUAAAGAGCUCGUAGGCGGUCUGUCGCGUCGGCUGUGAAAACCCGGGGCUCAACCCCGGGCCUGCAGUCGAUACGGGCAGGCUGGAGUUCGGUAGGGGAGACUGGAAUUCCUGGUGUAGCGGUGAAAUGCGCAGAUAUCAGGAGGAACACCGGUGGCGAAGGCAGGUCUCUGGGCCACUACUGACGCUGAGAAGCGAAAGCAUGGGGAGCGAACAGG